rnacentral:lncRNA from 1 species
CCUAGAGACCCCUCCCCAUUUCCCCUCCAUCUCUCCAAAGUUGCAAACCCUAGCCAUCCUCAAUCUCUAUUCCCUCACCACCAGCCGCUGCCCGCCGGAAAUCGUCUCACGGCGGCGGUGGCGUUCCAAACUCGCCCUAAUUGUCACCAUGUAAUCACCAUUCCCCCCUCUUUCCAAAUCCACCACUAGUUUCCCCUAAAUCCCCACCAAAUCCUUCUAAUUUCGGAUCUAAAAGUCCAGCAAAAUAAACCUAAUUUGUUUUCCCCCCUUUCUGAUUCCUUUGCUCAUAGCUAGUCAUUGUGACCUAGAACUUACGUCAAUGGAGUUUUCUUGAAAAGAACAAUCAAUUGACGAUGGUUGUUGUUCACUCCAAGUCUUCAGAGUUUUACUUCAGUCCAUCCUUUUUCUUGGGUAUUCUCUUAUCCCUUCUAUCUUGUCUUGUUGAUUGUGUUUGUUCUAACAUUGUGUUUUCAUAAAAUAAUUUAAAAAAUAGUGUUCUUUUAACCACUGUUAAAAUUUUGUUUUCUUCCGUUGUGCAUUUUCAUUUAAUUUUUGUUCUGAUUAGGCUUUUCUGUUUCAUUAAUUAAUGAGCUGAACUUAUAGUUCUUUAGCAUCAUAUCUAGUUCAAUCAUUUUGGCAUUUAAAAUUUACAUGUUUGUCAUUUGAUCUUCAUUUGAAAUAAUGUGUGUUAUAGCCCACUGGUUUGAAAUCAUGUGUGUUACUGGCUUGGGAAGUAGAAAGCCCAUUGGUUUGGGCUUGAGUUUUGGGUCAGAUGGCGCAGUUUGGUACUAGUUUGGGAAGUAAAUACAGGGGUGUCAGGAUAAGGUGAGGUUUGCAUGCAAAAAAAUAAAGACAGCUCGGUUAUUUUUAGGGUCUAGGAGGUAAAAUAUCAAAGUGUGAAGGGUAAAUAGUGAAUUAAAAUCAGGAUAGGGCUUCCCUAGAAUUGCCUAUAAAAAAAUCCUUCUCAUUCAUUGAGGGGACGAGAAGAAGAGACCUGAAAAUCUUCUGAAAAAUCCAGCUUCCAAUUUUCUGAUUUCCUUUCUAUUUACAAAAGUUUGGAAGGGGUUUUCUUUGAAUUUCUGGGUUCAUGAGCUGAGAUAUGAGCUGACAUUUUGCUACUGAUUCAACUGUUUUCUGCUAUCUUUUACUGAUCUUAGAGAUACCCUUUCUCAUUCUGUUUACAUGUUGUAUCCAGGUACUUUUUGAAUCAUGAAUGGCAAAUGGAACGUGAACAUGCUUGUAUGGAAGAUAUAUUCAUGCUGAAAUUAAUGGAGUUGCUCAUGUUAAAUUUCAACAUUCAUGUUCUUUUAAGCUAUUAAACUCUUUUUCUUUCUUUUCUUUUUUAGCUCUUACUUAAAAAUGAUAAGCUUGCUGUUUUAUUCAAUGGUUAGUUGGUUGUUCAAUAACAAAUGCUUAAUAGUUUAUUUUAUGUACUGGAUUUGCGUGAGAAUUUAGUUCGUUGAAGACAAUGUAUAAACAGCUCGUCCUUGUCUGCUCAUCGAAUUGGAUAUUGAUUAAUGUGUUGGUAAUGAUUCAUGUGGGGAAAGUUGAUGGAUCUAUUCUGAGGUCCAAGUUUUGUGUACUCUUAGGAAAAGAAGCUCUAUGUUCAAUCACUAAAUCAACUCUCUUAUUUGUUUCCUUAGCAUUUAUGUAUAGUUAGUAUGAUCGAAUUGACUUAAUGGUAGCUAUUGGAUCUUUUAGUUCACAAUUUUAUUCUAGUUUGUUGCUAUUGAUAUUUGUGUUCCUUCAUGACUCUUGUUACAGUUAAGGGAUUGCAAGGGCUCUUAUGUUUGUGAAGUGUUCUGUCAUGUUAUUGCUCUAUUUUAGUUGAAAGUAGUUCGAAAUUUGGUGAUGAAUCACAUUCCUCCCCUUUCCUUGUAGCAUGGUCUUUGGGGUUGAGAAAUAAAAUAACAGGAAUGGGUUUAGAGAAAAUCUUAAAGUGGGUCUCAUCAUGUUUUAAUUCACUUUCUUCGCCUUACCUUAUUUAAUAGUUACUUUCUUUCGUCAUUUGUUUGCUUCAUGUAUUCUGGCUAUUUUGUUGGCUUGAUUAGUUAAUUCUCCAUGCUUUGUGUACUUGGACGGUUGCUUUGCUAGAGUAGAGUUAAGUGAUGGUUGGGCAGUGAGAAUUGUGGUAUGAUCAAAGCCCAUUAGUGGUUAAUUGGUAUGCAUGUUUUAGAAUUGGGCUUGGUCAAAUGUAUGAAUUUAAAAGCUUAAAAAGGAAUGAGCUUGAAAUUUAGUAAAAGUACUCCAUAAUCUCGGGCUCCUUCUUGCCCACAAUCACCGCAUUAAGAACUACACAACCCUGAACAUUCGUUAGUUUGCUUUAGGCGCGCUAUAAUAAAUCUUCAUAGUUAUGGGUACGGUUUCCGUGACGUAGUUGUUAUACGUAAUUUUCAAAUCCUGCUGUACAUUUUAUGUGACCCGACCACAAUUUCUAACAAUUUUUUAAUAAAAUAAGCAUGUCACGAACCACGGGUGCAUUUCAUGUAGCGUGGUUUACGAUGUGCUCUAAAAUAAAUAAGUGUACGACGAUCGUGAAUAAAUUCAUAAACACUAAAAGCGGUUAGAAAGUGAAAAAUGCACGUAGAUUUAAAAUGUGUAAUUAAUCAGAUAAAUUAGGCCAUUAAUAACAGUUGAGCGACUGAGCUAAAACCAUGGAACUCGGGAAUGCCUAACACCUUUUCCCGGGUUUACAGAAUUUCUUACCCGGAUUACUGUGUUUGCAGACUAUAAAUAAGAGUCAAACUUCCUCGAUUCGGGAUUUUAAACUGGUGACUUGGGACACCAUAAAUUAUCCCAAGUGGCGACUCUGAAUUUGAAUAAAUAAUCUCGUUUCAAUUUUGUCACUUUAAUUGGAAAAACUCCCCUAUACCCCUUUUGGGUGGAAAAGGGAGGUGUGACAGCUUGGGCGACUCUACUGGGGACCAAGAACCCGGAACUUCUGGUUCAGGGUUCAAGAAUUCGAGCUUAGAAUAACUAUUAUAGUUGGCUUUAUUUAUUAUCUGAUUUUUAUAUGUUUGAGCCUAAUGUGCUAAAUGACGUUUUUUACCUCUUUGAUAUUGUUUGAACUGUAUAUAAACUGUUACGAAACCCUCUUCUCUCUGAAUCUUCUAAAUCAUCUGGGAAGUGUGAACUUCGUGUGACUUCUUUUCUAUUAGAGUCAUAUCCCAAUUUUAGAACCCAGUAUGCUGUACCCCCUCGGCUCGAGCUGUCCGCUCGAGUAAGCCAGGUCUAGAACAAAUACACCCAGGUUAUUAACUUAGAAUAACAUAGCCUAAAGAUGGAUCCCUAGUAGGAACGCUUGUUUGCAUCACGUGCAUUUGACUUUGGGGACUCAACACGGGGGUUAGGUCCAUCUAGAACAAGUGUACCCGAAAUAAAAAACCAUCCUGAUGCAUUCUACGUGCUAAUUAUACAUUCAUUUGAUUCGUAUUGCAUGUUGACCGACUUCUAGAAUAAGGAAGAAAAAUUGAGAAAAAUCAAAUUGAGGUAGAUGAGAGGAAAUUACCCGCCUUUGAAAAAAUCUGGUGUCCAAAAUAUCUCGAAGCUCUGCCGGAAUUUUUGAAAAACAAAAAGAAAAAAAGGGAAAAGUUAUUUCAAAGUGUUUAUAUUUUUCUUUGGCGUCAAAACUAACCGAACUACGCGGGUUUUAUUCUCACCGGAUGUGGGAUACGUAGGCGACCCUCAUCCGGUCCAGCCCUGCUUUUGCAAAAAACAAUAAUAACCAAAAACGUGAAAUAUUGCCAUUUUUGUCACAAAUAAAGUUAGGCGAUGCCGUUUUUGUCUAAAUAGCCAGAAAUGUCCCGACAGGGCGCGGGAAGGCUGUUUUUGCAUGAAUAGCCACCUAUGGUCCUUUUUCAAAUUUCUGGCCAAUUAGCGAACAUAGCCCUAAAAUUUUCCUUCCUGAAGUGCUAAAGGGCCAUAUUCGCAAAGGUGUUUCGUUUUGAGCAAGUUGUUUGAGUUGAAAUUUUGCAAAAAAAUAAUAAUCUUCCUUUUGGGUCAAAAUAAAUCAUGGUUUUUUUAACCGGUCACUUUAAAUAAAUGUGCAAGUUGAGCACUAUUGAAAAUGAACCUUUCAAAGUUGUAGAAGAAAUCCCGAUAGGACUCCAUAUGUGGUGGAAUGAUCUGGGGGAAGUCAGUAGAGGUGUUGCAAUAAAAGCUUUAGGCUGGAUCAUUGGUCUCUUGAAGAUUAAAUCAAGGUUGGACAUAAUUGAAGCUUUAAUACCAUUUUGGGACCCGGCGCACAAUAUUUUCCAUUUCUCUGAUUUUUAAUUAACCCCUACACUUGAGGAGAUAGCAGGCUAUGCUGGCUUUAACGGAAAUCUCAGGAGCCGAUACCUAGUGGCACCAAGAGCUGGAACCCCUCACAAGUUUCUGGAUCUUCUAAGUAUUAGUCGGGAAGUCAAAGAUGGAAAUUUGGCUAAAGGAUUUUGCAUAUUUUACUUCCCAUGCCGCCGCUAUGGGGACCCCCAUGGUUUUGAGGCUCCGGAUACCGAUUUAAUUCAUUAAGGGAAUAAAGGCAAAUGGGAAGCACGUCGGGGACUGGCCUUUAUAGUGGCAUUCUUAGGCACCCUAAUCUGCCCGAGAGGUGAUGGACAUAUAGAGUUGGGGCUCGUAGGAAAGACUGACUUCAUGAUCAAAAAGACUAAUGGCACUAUUAUACCAAUGAUCCUAGCAUAAAUUUAUCGAGCCCUAACUGUUUGCCAAGCAGUGGGAAAUUUUUUUGAGGGUUGCAACAUGCUUUUACAACUCUGGAUGGAAGAACACAUUUGUCAUCGUUCGGGGUACAUGAACUAUGGUCUGACUGGUCUUAACUGCAUUGAAGAACAUGAAAACAGGGUUCUACGCCAACUGGGCAGGUACCAAACUGUCCCUCAUGAUGAAGAUUUGAGUCGACAAGUUAUUGAACUAGGUCCAAAAGCAGCAUUCCCGGAAGAAAAAGUUCGCUAGAUUUGGCAUCAGUGUAGGUUCCUGAAGCCACAAACUCAAGUACGAGAUUUGUCCAAGGGUGAGGUAGAGUCUAGAUACACGGUCUGGUAUGGUAAAAGGGUUCAAGCCCAUCAAGAGCCUGAACGGCCCGCCAAAAGUCCCCACGUACAACAGUUCACUGAUGGGGCACAAGAACAAUGGGAUUGGUUAGCAAAGGAGAAAAGAUACAGGGUUACGAUAAGCAGAUUAGAAGGGCAAAUUAGAGAUCUUAAAUUUGGUAGUAGUGUGUAGGCUGCCGCUGAUGAAGGAGAGAAGAAAAAGUUGGCCCGAGAAAAUGAGGCCCUCCGAGCCCAGAUUCAAAGGAUGAAGGUAGUUGCUGAAAACCCGGAGAGGAGCAGAACAGAUGAAAGACUUAUAAACGAUCUUAGGCGGAAAGUAUGUGACUAUGGGGUUGAUUUGGAAAAGACUGAGGGUGAACUAGCAAAGGCCCGAUCAAUGUUGGCCAGGAAUGCGAAAGAACGGGCAAGUUUCGUUCAACAGUUGAAGGAGAAGUACGACGAAGGAAUCACAAGUCUGAAGAAAAAGAUCAAUACCCUUGAGAGUGAAAUGACCAAGCAAGCAAAGAAGUUCAAAGCAGAAAGAGAGCACUAAUAUGCAUUGAUGUCACAACUAGAGGAGGACCUACAGCAAUUGUAAAAGCAAAAUCAUAUGGCCACACAAGUUUUGGAGACCAUAUCUCAACAAAUUAGACGUUUGCUCCAAGAGAAGGGCGUCAUCAGGGAGAGGAGUAGAAGAAUGGCAGACCAUAUUGUGAUGAAGUGCAAUGAAUGCGAGGACAUGACCGGGUCCUUGUUCUUCACUGCAAUGAUUUUUGUCCGUCAGAUAAUUGAUGACCUAUUUCACCUCCAAGAAGAUAUGGCACGUAGGCCCUCGGCGAGACCGACUGAUGUCCCGCGGGCCUUUGGAGCAGUAUUAGAGGCACUUAUGUAUUCCUAAUUUUAUUUUCGAGUUUGUAUUUUAGUUUCUUUUGGAGUAUGUUAGUCCAUUUUGAGUCUUGUUUUUUCAAUGUUUAAGUUUGUAUGAUGGAGUUGUUGUAAUAGAGGAAAAUCAGAAUGUAUUAUUUUUAUGAAAUUUUGAAAACCCAAAAAUAUUUCUUUCUCUUAUUUCACAUUUAUCUCCCGAACUACGUAAUGAUAUGAUUCAUGCGAUGUCAUGAUACGUAGGCAAUCCCUAUAGGAUUCAAUCAGAACCAUAAAAUGAAAAGAGGAAAGAAAAUCAAGUGGAGAGAGAGAGAGUGGCAAAACAAGAGAACAAAAGCGAGAGCAAAAAAAAAGGGAGCGACAAGAACCGAGUGGGAAAAUAAAUAAUGGAUGAAUGAGGGCAGUAGUGAGAAAGAAAGAAAAAGAGAGAAGAGAAAGUGCAAAGUGAAAAGAGUUAGUUAAGUCCGGGAUGAAAUAUGCAACCGUUCAAAUACAUAAUAGAAACCUUUAAUUUUUCAGGUGCAUUGCAUCUCAAACGUGCAAUUGCUUAUCUGUUAAACCCUUAAACACUAACAAGUUUGUUGUUGUCAUUUAGUACAAGAAGAUGGUUAGUUUAUUUGGCAUUCUAGCAAGCCACCCAUAUAAUACCAGGUGUAAACAAAAGGCGAUCAUGGCUGGCAAAGAAUUGGACGCGAGUGUUAAUUACCCGCCAAGAGAGAAGGAGGAAUCUGAGCCUGAUUUGAAAGAAGAGUUACAUAAUCUGAAGCACCAAAUGGCCGAAAUAUACCAGGCAUGGAUGAAAGGGCAUCCUCCAUCUUCAUACCCUGCCAACCCUACUUUCAUUCCACCACUAGUUCAAUCUCAACAAUCCCACAUUGUUGAUUUAUCCCCACAACACGGACCAAGAUUCACCCCUUACUACCACUAUCAUGACACCACUUCAUAAACCAUCCAAGCUCCACCAGCCAAAGAAACCACAUACCUCGCUCCGCCAGCUACCCCUGUCUUCGUAGCACCUCCGCCAGCUACACUCCAACAAUCUUCUAGUGAGCCGGUAUUUCAAGCCCAAGAUAACUAGUAUUAUGCCCCAGAGCCCACCUUCAAAGUCCCAGAUCACUACUCCUACACUCCCUACUUCAAAAUUCCUGUCGAAACUGAGAAGCCACCCAAAAUCAUGGAGCAAGAGGAGACAUUUAGGAAGGUAAAGAGCUUGGAACAGUCAUUGAUAAAUAUGCAAGGUUUAGGGGCCAAGUGAGUGUAUCUUAUAAGGAUCUGUGCUUAUUUCCUGAUGUCCAGCUACCUGUCGGAUGCAAAAUGCCCAAGUUUGACUUGUAUGACGGGCACGGAGACCCCGUGGACUACUUGAGAGGAUUUUAUAGCAAAAUGAGGGGAGCUGGUGGGAAAGAUGAACUGUUGAUGGCAUAUUUUAGCCAAAGUCUGAGCGGUGCAGCAUUGGAGUGGUACACCCACCAGGACAACAGUAGGUGGUACACUUGGGAUGAUCUGGCCCAGGCUUUCACUCGACAUUUCCAGUACAACGUAAAGAUUGUCCCAGAUCGCCUGUCUUUGACUAAGAUAGAGAAAAAGCCCAGUGAGAGUUUCAGGGAGUGUGAGCACGUGAUUUUUUCCCUAAAUAUGAUUAUUCUCAAAAUCCCAAACAAAAUAAUUUUCCUUUAUAUUUUACAAUUUUUGUGCAUUUUGGUGUCAUUUUCUGAUAAUUGUUGCAUUCUAUUUGCGCAUGUUAAUUUUUAUAAAGUACAAAAAAUAUGCAUUUUUGCGUUUAGGUUUUAGUAUCAAUUAAGGGUUAAUUUGUUUUAAAACAAAACAUGAAAAUCACAAAAAUUAGUUCACUUUCGCAUUUUAAUGAUUUUUAUUAUGAAUUUGUCAUGAAUUAGUUUUUAAACAAUUUUAGGCAUUAGUCAGUUUUAGUUUUUAAAGUAUAUUUAGGAUUUUGAUUUAUUGUUUGAAAUUUCUAUAAAAUCAGAAAAANAAUUACAAAAUUUCAAAGUGGAAACAAAUAGAUAAAAUGAAAUAAAAAAUACAAGNNNNNNNNNNNNNNNNNNNNNNNNNNNNNNNNNNNNNNNNNNNNNNNNNNNNNNNNNNNNNNNNNNNNNNNNNNNNNNNNNNNNNNNNNNNNNNNNNNNNNNNNNNNNNNNNNNNNNNNNNNNNNNNNNNNNNNNNNNNNNNNNNNNNNNNNNNNNNNNNNNNNNNNNNNNNNNNNNNNNNNNNNNNNNNNNNNNNNNNNNNNNNNNNNNNNNNUUCUCUUGUAAGAACACAUGGUUAGGGAUGUUACGCGUCAAAAAUCUAAAAGGAUUCAGACGUCUGUGACUGGCCAGAGUUCCUCGCGCUUCUGUGAGUCUUUCAUGUUUCUUUUCACUCGCAUGGUUGAAGUUUUAGUUACAGUUUUUGUUUCAUUAAUUGUUCUUUUAAUUUUAUGAUUUAUUUAUAUUAGUAUAAUUCUGUCAAUUGCUGAUUAGUUUUGAGUUGAUAUUUUUUUGAAUGAUUGUGAGUUUACGGGUUAAGAAUUAGUUUAAAUUCAUUUAAUGUUGAUCAUGUUAGCUUAAGCUUAGUUUGAUUUCAUUUAGUUUGAUUGAGUUGGUAUAAUUGAACAAUUGGGUUUGGUCAGUUUGAUUAGUUGAUUUCUGGUGGCUAAUUAAUCAAUUUCAGUUAGUUUAGUUUAACUUAGGGGAUUGGUUAUAGCUAUUAAGGAUGGGGGUAGUUUUAGUAACUUUGAGAAGCCUUCAAGGGUAGUUUGGGUAUGGAAAAGGGUAGUUCUGAUAGGAAUAGUAAUUUCAAAGCAUAGGAAAGGGCAGUAUAGGUAUUGUAUGGGUAGAAGAAUACCCUAGGGCCUUCUAGAAUAGGAUUUUAGUGCACAUUUCAGCACAAUAGGGGUGUUUACUUGUUUAGCAAGUCAAGAAUAGAGGGACUAAACUGAAAUAAGGGAGGGACUAAAAAAGAAGGCCUAAAAAUCUGAUCUACUAUCUUUUUGUGCCUAUAUAAGGGCAUGAAAUGCCUUGGGAAAGGGGCUUUUUCUUCUUCCUUCAGCUCUAAGCUCGAAAAUCCCCACAAAAGGCUCUCCUCCCUGCUUUCAAUUCUAGUUAGUAGGUCCAGUCCAGUAUUCAAAAAAUAAAAACAUCAAAAAAUGAAGAAAUCAAAAACAAUCUUACAGUUUCAUUAUUAGUUUUUGGAUUUCAGUUGGGUUUUGGGUUUAGCAGUAUUGCAGAGGUGCUCAGGUUCAGCUGUGAGGGCUAGGAGUGCAUUUGAAGUGUGUGUUGAAUUGAUCUGUGGAGGCUGUUUGUAUUUCUGGUUUUCAAAAGCAGUUCCUGGCAUGUUCUGUGGUAUAUAUUGUUGAGUUUGUUGUUGUUGCUGUUCAGAGUAGUUGACUCCUUACCUUCUCAUAUUUUCAUUUAUCCAGGUGCACAAUUGUACCCCUGAUGAAUGUGAGCUCAAAUAGGCAGAAAUGAAUUAUUUGAAGAAUCAAUGUACAUGCAGAACUGAGUUCUGAUUUAGCUAGCUUCCAGAUCUAAGUAUUCAGUAUUCAAUUCAUGGAUAUUGUUUAAAGUUUUGCUUGCUUUAGUGCAAAUAGACUAUAUGGACUGUUAUAUUUUAGAGUCAUGUGAAUACUAUGAAGUGAACACCAGUGUUAGUCGAUUACAUGAUAGAUUGAUAGCAAUGUUGGCAUGAAUUGAUUCAGAAAUAGCUCGUUUGCUUCAUGUUAUUGAGAUUGUGUUUAUAGCUUGGUUUUACCUUGAUGAUGUCUAAGAAACUCACCAGAAUGUCAUUAGAUGAAUUAGCCUGUAUAUGAAGUAGGAAUUCAAUUGAUUAACUUCUUUCUAAGUUAAGUAGAUAUGUGCUAUUUCCCCUUGGCUGAUUAUUGAAUACUUGCAAUAACUUAGAGAUAAUUUCAAAGGGUUGUCGGGGUAAGCAAAUCAAAGCCUCGCUGGGCUCAACGAUAAGCCAUCUCAGGCUGUUACGCGAACAGCCUUCAUGAGUUUGGACCUCUCAAGGGAUUCGAUCCCAAGUGUUGAAGUUUGUCGCCUGGGCCUCCCUUUCAUUUGCCUGACCCAAAUUUUAGGCCAUUUCUGAGGCCCAUCAGUGGUCCAGUCCAUUGUAUAAGUUGGGCCACUGAACUUUAUUUAGUUUACAUAUAAUUAAGUUCUAUUUUUAGGGAUAUUUGAUCAUUAGAAAAUUGUAAGUUACUUUCAAAAAUGGUUUUUUUUGUUAGAAAUGAAAUUCGCUCAACACAAAUCACGUAUGCGGGCUGUCAACAAGUGGUUAUUAUAAUGAUUAGAAUUUGGGAUGGCCAUUUAGCAAAUUCCACGGUCUCCCCCAAGUAAUAUUACGUUAGAAUCUUUAGGCGCGAUUUUAAUUAAAGUACCUUCUUAAACUCGGGUGCGCAUUGAUGCGACCCAAAUCCAAAUCUCGACGAAGUCGAAAUGUAUUGACAACCACGGGUGCAUUGAUUGCGACGUGGAUCGAAACGCGUUUUCACGACGUUGCAAUUCUUUUAAAAUAAAUAACAAUAAAAGCGGUUUACGAAUAAAAAGCACAUAAGUUAGCAUGUAUUGAAAUCAGAUGAAAUCAAAUACAACGGUUAAGCGACCGUGCUAGAACCACGGAACCCGGGAAUGCCUAACACCUUCUCCCGGGUUAACAGAAUUCCUUACUCGAAUUUCUGGUAUGCGGACUGUUAACAGAGUCAUAAAUUUCCUCGGUUUGGGAUUCAACUGGUAACUUGGGACACCAUUAAUCUCUCAAGUGGCGACUCUGAAUAAUUAAUAAUUAAAUCCCGUUCCGAUUGUCCUUUAAAUGGAAAAACUCAUUUACGCCUUUUGCGGGGUGUAGGUAAUGAAAAAGGAGGUGUGACAGGGAGUAUGGUUUCUGACGGAGAGAACAAGCGGCAAGAGUCAACCCUCCAAUGGAGGAAGAUGAAAUGGUGGAGUACUUUCUUCAAGCCUUAAAGCCUACUUACUUUGGUCAUUUGAUCUCGACCAUAUGUAAGUCUUUCAAUGAAGUGGUAAAAAUGGGAGGAAUGGUACAGGAAGGACUCAAAUCAAGCAAGAUCAUGAGUUACUCUGCUAUCAAAGCAACUACACAAGCAAUCCAGAAUGGCACCGGUGGCGUGUUAAGGAAAAAGAAGAAAGAAGAUGUUAAUAUGGUUGUCUCAGGAUCGUGGCAUGGCCCAAGGGGCUUACCUCACCAUUACACCCAUCCUCGACCCCAACCUCAGCCCUAUACCCAAGCUCCAUAUAAUCCACCCCAACACUACUUCCUACUACCAGACCCUUAGUAUUCAGUCAGGCCACCCAAAUACCAUUUCCCCAUGCACAGUCAUAUGCUCAACCCCCUCCUUACCCGCAAUGGCAUGCCCCAGCUCCACAAAACCCUAACCUACCUCCACAAACAUACCAAAACCCUACUGGUCCCAGCUUUCGACCCAGGCCGGAGUAUAAAAGGGAAAAUCAGCAGCGGAAACAAACUUUCACCCCGCUUGGAGAGUCUUAUGCCAGUCUAUUCCAAAGGUUGAGGCAAUUGGAUGUUCUAAGGCCGAUUGAGUCAAAAUUACCAAAUCCCCCUCCGAAAAACCUGGAUUAUUUCCUCAGAUGUGCAUAUUGUUCUGAUGCUCCGGGGCACGACACAGAAAAAUGUUAGCAUUUGAAGAGAGCCAUCUAGGAGCUUAUUGAUACAAACCAAAUUGUGGUCGAGAGCCCUGAAGCGCCAAAUAUCAAUCAAAAUCCAUUACCAGCCCAUGCCAAAACAUAUAUGAUUCAGAUAGUGCAUAAGGAUGGGGAGCCCAAGAGGCCUUCAAAGUCUGUUAUGUUGAUCCGUGCCAGUGAAAGUAAGCCAGUCAAAACUCCAGUUGAUACAAAGGCAACAUCUUCGAUAGAUGAAGGGCUAACAAACAAGCUAAGCACUCCCAAUUACAAGCCACCUGUGGUAGCCGUGAAGGGCUUCCCAGAUGAUGUUGAAACAAAGUAAGGAAAGGCGAAAGUGGUCAUGCUGGGGGUAGCAAGUAAGCAUGUCAUUAUGAUGGAAGGGGCUCGCAUUGCCCCGGUUAUUAUUAAACCCGUGACCCAGUUGCCGAUAGAUAACACCAAGGUUGUUUCGUGGAAUUACAAGCGAGUGAUAGUAACUUAUAAAGGGAAAGAAGUGGAAUAGGAAGUUAAUGAAACUCAGGGGUUGACUCGUUCAGGGAGAUGUUUUUCCCUAGAGGAAUUAAGGAAAGCUAAGCCACUCAAAGAUAAUCCAAUCCUGGUGAAGAGACCAGUCACCGAAGAGGAGGCGAAAGAAUUUUUGAGGAAAAUGAAGGUGCGGGAUUACUCCAUCGUGGAACAGUUGAGGAAGACACCCGCUCAGAUUUCUCUUCUAUCAUUGUUGAUACAUUCUAACGAGCAUCACCGGGCCGUCAUAAAGAUUCUGAAUGAAGCUCAUAUCCCUAAUAAGAUCACAGUGAACCAUUUGGAGAAUAUUUCUAACAAGAUAUUUGAGGCAAACAGGAUCACCUUCUCGGAUGAUGAGCUGCCUCUGGAGGGUACAGAAGACAAUCGAGCUCUUUAUCUCACAGUGAAAUGCGAAAAUUAUGUGGUCACAAGGGUGCUAGUUGAGAAUGGUUCCAGUGCAAACAUUUGCCCUCUCUCCACUAUGCACAAGUUGAAAAUUGAUGCUGAGAGGAUCCACAAGAACAGUAUAUGUGUCUGAGGUUUUGACGAAGGGGGAAAAGAUCCUAUUGGCGAUAUCCUACUUAAUCUGACAAUAGGACCAGUUGAAUUUACCAUGGAGUUCCAAGUACUAGACGUGGCCGUCUCUUACAAUUUGCGAUUGGGUAGGCCUUGGAUACAUGUUGCCAAAGCAGUACCAUCUUCUUUACACCAGAUGGUAAAGUUCGAGUGGGAUAGACAGGAAAUCAUUGUGCAUGGUGAUGAGAACUUAUGUGCUUACAAUGAUACAUCCAUCCCGUUUAUUGAGGCCGAAGACAGUAAGAGGCCUUGGGUUUACCAAGUUUUCGAAGCAGUGUCAGUUGAAAGGUUCUGGAAGGGGAAUGUAUUCCAGGUCCAAAGCUAGCUUCUGCAACCGUCAUGGUAGCCAAUGAAAUGUUGAAGAAUGGUUUUGUAUCGGGCAGGGGUCUGGGCGCAUCUUUGCAAGGUAUCGUGUAGCCAGUGUCUUUACGUGAAAAUCUGGGUAUGUUUGGUUUGGGGUUAAAACCUACAAGGGAUGAUGUGAAGAAGUCUAAAAAGUUGAAAAAGAAGGCAUGGUCACUCCUUAAGCCUAUCCCACGCCUCUCUAGGUCCUUCGUCAGGCCAGGGGUCGUGAAACACCCGGUGUCAUCAAUCCCAAAGCCUGUGGUUGAUUUUGAUAAAGAAUUGAUUGAAAGGUUCCAGAGUACAUUUGAUGAGGUGAACAUGGUAGAAGUUGGGGAAGGUUCCAGCAAAACAUAUGUGCAAUUUAUUGGGCCAAAACUGAAGCUUAACAAUUCAGAGGCUACUCCUCUGCCUACCAGGGUUGUAAUCCAGAUUUUUAUUUUUUGCUUGUUUUGAUGUACAAGCCCUUCUAUCCUUUAUUUUCAAAUGAAAUGCAAUUUUCCUUUUUCCAUUACUCCUGAUAGUGUCAUUUUUGUCUUUCUUUGUUCAGUUCUUUUUAUGCUGGUUUCAAUGACAUGACAUGCAUGAAGAAUCUUCGACCAAGUCUUAAAAGCCAAUAUAACUUUGAAAUAAUAAUCCAAGAAAUAAAGUGUGAUGAUGAAACAGAAUAUGAUGAAGAACAGGCAUUUGAGGAAAUUAGUAAAGAACUAAAUCAUUUUGAAGAGAAAUCCAAGCCUAAUUUGAAUGAAACUGAAGCAAUCAAUUUAGGGGAUCUAGCUAAUAUCAUAGAAACCAAGAUAAAUGUACACUUGGAGACACAAAUCAAGGAAGAAAUAAUCAAAGCAUUGUUUGAAAAUAAAGAUAUUUUUGCAUGGUCAUAUGACGACAUGCCUGGUUUGAGUACUGACUUGGUAGUUCACAAAUUGCCAAUUGAUCCAGCAUUCCCUCCCGUCAAGCAGAAGUUAAGGAAGUUCAAGACUGACAUGAGUGUGAAUAUCAAGGAAGAAAUCACAAAACAGUUGGAUGCAAAGGUCAUUCGAGUCACGCGAUACCCCACUUGGUUAGCUAAUGUUGUGCCAGUACCAAAGAAGGAUGGUAAGACCAAGAUGUGCAUUGAUUACCGUGACCUCAACAAAGCAAGUCCAAAGGAUAAUUUCCCAUUGCCGAAUAUCCACAUUUUUAGUGAUAACUAUGCCAAGCAUGAGAUCGGAUCUUUCAUGGAUUGCUAUGUGGGGUACCAUCAGAUCCUGAUGGAGGAGGAAGAUGCAGAAAAGACAGUGUUGAUCAUACCAUGGGGAACAUAUUACUACCGGGUAAUGCCAUUUGGUUUGAAAAAUGCUGGGGCAAUUUACAUGAGGGCAAGGACUGCCGUAUUUCAUGACAUGAUACACAAGGAGAUUGAGGUUUUUGUAGAUGAUGUGAUCAUAAAGUCAAAGCAACAGUCUAACCAUGUCGGGGAUUUGAGAAAGUUUUCCAGAGACUCCGUAGGUACAAUCUUAAGCUCAACCCGCAAAAUGUGUAUUUGGUGUUCCGUCUGGGAAACUAUUGGGGGUUCAUAGUCAGUCGGCAAGGCAUUGAGUUAGAUCCGUCAAAGAUCAAAGCUAUCCAAGAAUUUCCACCACCAAGGAUUAAAACUGGGGUGAUGAGUUUUCUUGAGCAUUUAAAAUACAUCAGCAGGUUUAUUGCUCAACUCACGACAACUUGUGAGCCCAUCUUUAAGUUGCUGAAGAAGGAUGUCGCGGUCAAAUGGACUGAUGAGUGCCAGGAGGCAUUUGAUAAGAUCAAGGGGUACCUGUCCAACCCAUCUGUGUUGGUCCCACCGGAGCCUGGGAGGCCUUUAAUUCUCUAUUUGACAAUCCUGGAUAACUCAUUCGGUUGUGUCCUGGGUCAACAUGACAUCACUGGCAAGAAGGAGCAAGUCAUCUAUUAUCUCAGCAAGAAGUUCACAUCCUAUGAGGUUUAGUAUACUCCCCUUGAAAGGACAUGUUGCGCCCUGACUUGGGUAGCACAAAAGUUGAAGCAUUAUCUGUCGUCCUACACUACUUACCUCAUUUCUCGCAUGGAUCCUCUAAAGUAUAUUUAUUAGAUGCCUAUUCCCACAGGAAGACUUGCAAAGUGGUAGAUUCUGCUCACAGAGUUUGACAUCAUCUAUGUGACUAGGACCGUAAUGAAAGCCCAAGCAUUGGCCGAUCAUUUGGCUAAGAACCUAGUGGAUGAAGAGUAUGAGCCAUUGAGGACUUAUUUUCCUGACAAAGAGGUAAUGCAUAUUGGCAAGGUUGAGUAGGAUGAAAAGCCAGGUUGGAAACUUUUCUUUGAUGCAGCCGCGAACAUGAAAGGUGUUGGAAUAGGGGCGGUGCUUAUUUUUGAAAUAGGGCACCACUACCCUGUUACAGACCAACUUCGUUUAUAUUGUACUAACAACAUGGCUGAGUAUGAGGCAUGCAUUCUGGGUUUGAGGUUAGCUGUAGACAUGGGAGUCCAGGAAGUCUUGGUUUUGGGAGAUUCGGAUCUAUUAGUGCACCAGAUUUAAGGAGAAUGGGAGACUCGGGAUUUAAAGAUCAUAUUGUAUCGACAAUGUUUGCAUGAUCUUUGUCAAUGGUUCAGAUUAGUAGAAUUCAGGCAUAUUUCUAGGAUCCAUAAUGAGGUUGUUGAUGCCUUGGCUAACUUGGCAUCAAUGUUACACCAUCCAGAUAAGGCUUACGUUGACCCUCUACAUAUUCAAGUUUGUGAUCAGCAUGCCUACUAUAAUAUGGUUGAGGAGGAACUUGAUGGCGAACCGUGGUUCCAUGAUAUUCGGAAAUACAUCAAGAUGGGGGUGUAUCCGUUACAUGCCACUGGUGAUCAAGAUAGAACAAUUCGACGUUUGGAUAGUGGAUUUUUCUUGAGCGGGGGAAUUUUGUACAAGAGAACUCCAGAUCUUGGACUGCUGAGGUGCAUAGAUGCUAAACAAGCCACGACUAUCAUGACCGAAGUGCAUUCCGGAGUUUGCGGGCCGCAUAUGAGUGGGUAUGUUUUGGCAAAGAAAAUUCUUCGAGCAGGGUAUUAUUGGCUCACCAUGGAACGAGAUUGCAUCAGCUUCAUGCGCAAGUGUUAUCAAUUCCAAGUGCACAGUGAUUUGAUUCAUUCUUCACCCUCUACGUUGCACACAUUAUCCGCACCUUGGAUCUUUGUUGCUUGGGGCAUGGAUGUCAUUGGACUAAUUGAGCUAGCGGCAUCAAAUGGGCACAGGUUUAUUCUGGUGGCCAUAGAUUAUUUCACUAAGUGGGUUAAAGCUAUGACUUUCAAAUCUGUGACCAAGGAGGCAGUGGUUGAUUUUGUUCAUUCGAACCUCAUUUGCCGGUUCAGAAUCCCCAAGGUAAUCAUAACGGACAAUGGCGCUAAUCUUAACAGCCAUUUGAUAAAAGAAGUAUGCCAACAGUUCAAGAUUAUGCAUCGAAAUUACACUCUGUAUCACCUCAAGGCAAAUGGAGCUGUUGAGGAGGCUAACAAAAUUAUAAAGAAGAUACUUUGAAAGAUGGUGCAAGGUUCUAGGCAAUGGCAUGAAAAUUUGCCUUUUGCUUUAAUUGGUUACCGCACUACUAUUCUCACUUCAGUAGGUGCAACUCCUUAUUUGCUGGUAUAUGGUACCGAAGCAGUUAUACCCGCAGAAGAUGAAAUUCCAUCCCUUCGGAUUGUUGUUGAAGCUGAAGUUGAUGACGAUGAGUGGGUCAAAACCCGUUUGGAGCAGUUAAGUCUGAUCGGUGAGAAAAGACUGGCGGCAGUAUGUCAUGGUCAAUUGUAUCAAAAGAGAAUGGCAAGAGCAUACACUAAAAAGGUGUGUCCCCGGAAAUUUAAAGUGGGUAAGCAAAUAUUAAAACGUAUUCAUCCACAAUAGGCUGAAGUUAAAGGCAUGUUUGCCCCAAAUUGGCAGGGGCCAUUUAUUGUAACAAGAGUGUUGUCCAAUGUUGCUUUGUAUUUAACAUAUAUAGAAGGAAAAUGUGUAGAUAUGGCUAUCAAUUCUGAUGCAGUCAAAAGAUACUAUGUAUGAUUUCUUUGGUUUGUCUAAUCGUAUUGUUUGUACUUGGCAUGUUUUGAAGAUUGGAAUGACGAAGGCAUUUUAUUCUGCUAUCUAAACACUUUAUCCUUUGUUACCCCUUUCUUUUGAGCCUUAUUUAUUUUCUUUCAUACCCCUCUUUUGGAAUCAGAAGCAAAGUUUAGAAAUAUAGAUACAAAAAAUAAUUAAAAAAGUGAGAGAAGAAAAGAGAAAAAAAAGUGGAAAGACAAAAAUGAGAAAAGUAAAGUAGAAGUAAGAAAAGAAAAGAAAGAAAAAGCAAAAGAAAACGUAACAAAAAAAAGAAACUUUUAUGUCUUGAACUACGUUCGACCUGAUUCUUUUUAAGGAUACGUAGGCAGCCUCACGGGUUGGUCCCAUCAAAACAAAAAUCCAAAAUUUCCCAGACUCAAAGAAACUGAGGCAGAAGUUGUGGUUUUGCAAAAGAUUUGAUUCCAAAAGUUGUAACUUUAAACCCCGUUGUUAAGCUGUCAUCCCGCCUUUUCUUUCUAACCCCGUCCAAAGGCUGGUACCCCAGUCCAAAGAAAGACCUUCCGAUCAAUCUUUGAAAUAUGCUAAGUCAAGCAAGCUAGAGGUAUGAGUCACAUUGUAGGUAACACUUUUGUUCGGGAGCACAAGGAAAAAUGAAUAAAUGAGAGUCUUGUUGGUAAAAACCUUCACGGGCAUCGUAAGGCUAUGGAAAGCUGAGAGAAAACUAAAAUGAGAGAGUCUUAUUGGUGAAAACCCUCGCGGGCACCUUAAGGUGACAGUGAGUCGAGAGAUUAACAAAUCAGAGAGGUUUGUUGGUGAAAACCCGUCAGGGCACUACAAGUCGAGUGAUGCUCGUGUCUUUGCAGAGAGAUUGGAUUAUGGAAAAUCCCGGUUUCGGAGGACGAAGGCGGGGCACAAAAUGAAAUAUGAUUAGGUGAACGGUCUGGGCUAAUUAAUCCGAAAUGCAUGUCAUGAUCAUUGCAGCCAGCUGCUUCACUCAGAUAAGUCUCUCUUCCACUAUUCCUCGAAUAGUCAUCUCUUUCUAAAAUUUCCUCUUUGUCUUUGUUUCUCAAAGUCGCUUUGCUUCGUUUUCUUUUGGGUCUACUUCUGUAAGUCUUUUUCCAAUGUUAGCCUUGUUAAGCAAGCAAGAAAGAUUUCAAAGCUUAUUACCAACUUUCAAUUGCACAAAGAAAAGUGCGGCCAAAUCAUACCAGAAAUAGCAUGAUUCAAAAUGAGAAAUAAGGUGUUAGGGGGAGUUCAAGUGGUCAAAUGGUUUCGUGAACUUUGAGGAAAUACAGAGGUUCAAAUUGGAAGGACAUAAAUGUAAAUGCCAGGAUGAGUGCGAGCCACUCGGGCCAUUCGGGGUUCUAUGGUUGAGGUUCAAUCAGAAGGUCAAACAAUUUUUUGCCAGCCCAAGGCAGCUAAUCGGAACAAAGCAUGGCAGUGGAAAGGCCACCUUUAGCAAGAAUGCCGCAAACUAACCACCUCAUUUUCAAACUGAUAAGAUUUUCUUUGAUUGAAACAGGGGAAGGAAAUUUUGUGUUCUGGAGGAACCAUCCGUGAGGAAAGCGUGUGCCAGAUAGGUUCAACCGUAAGUUCUCAGGACCCUCCUGGAUAAUGGGAUUUAAUUUAAAGUUCUCAGGACUCUCCUGGAUAAUGGGAUUUAAUUGCAAGUUCUCAAGACCCUCCUAGAUAAUGGGAUUUAGUUUCAAGUCCGUCAAAACCCUCCUGGAUAAUGGGAUUUAGUUUUAUGUCUUUAAGAACUUCAUAGAUAAUGAGAUUUAGCGUAAGUUUUACAUUUAGGAAGUAGAAUUUAGCUUUGAAGUUUUCACUCUUAAGAUGAGAUUUAAUUUUAAAUUUUCAGGGCCCUCCUAGAUAAUAGGAUUCUACUUUUAAAUUCUUAUAAUUCUUUUGGAUAACAGGAUUCGAUUAACACUCACAGAAGUUCUCGGUACCAAACUGGGUAGAAAAGUUUCUUUUGUUUUGUUUGUUUAGUCACAAUAUCAGGCGCCCACCUAGAGAACAAGGGAAUUCAUUUCAAAUUUUAAGUCAGCAUCAGGUGUCCACCUGGAGAACAAGGGAAUUCAUUUUUAGUUUUAAGUUGCAGACGCCCAUCUAGAGAACAAAGGAAUUCAUUUCAAGUUUAAGUUGCAGGCGCCCACCUAGAGAACAAAGGAAUUCAUUUCAAGUGGAAAUUCAUUUCAAGUUUAAGUUACAGACUCCCACCUGGAGAACAAGAGAAUUUAUUCCAAAUUAUAAGUCAGCAUCAGGUGGUCACCUAGAGAACAAGGGAAUCCAUUUCAAGUUUAAGUUGCAGGCGCCCAUCUGGAGAACAAGGAAUUCAGAAAACAAGGGAAUUCAUUUCAAGUUUAAGUUGCAGGCUCCUACCUAGAGAACAAGGGAAUUUAUUUCAAAUUUUAAGUCAGCAUCAGGCGCCAACCUGGAGAACAAGAAAAUUCAUUUCAAGUUUAAUUUGUAGGCACCCACCUAGAGAAAAAGGAAAUUUAUUUUUAGUUUUAAGUUGCAGGCGCCCACCUGGAGAAAAAGGGAAUUCAUUUCAAGUUUAAGUUGCAGCCGCCCACAUGGAGAAUAAGGGAAUUUAUUUCAAAUUUUAAGUCGGCAUCAGGUGCCCACCUGGAGAACAAGGGAAUUCAUUUCAAAUUUUAAGUCAGCAUCAGGUGCCCACCUGGAGAACAAGGGUAUUCAUUUUAAGUUUAAGUUGCAGGCGCCUACCUAGAAAAUAAGGGAAUUUAUUUUGAAUUUUAAGUCAGCAUCAGGCACCCACCUAUAAAACAUGGUAAUUCUCUUCAAGUAUCAAGUUAAUUAGCAUAAACCCGCCUGAAGAAUGGGGUCAAUUCAAGUUAGGAAUAACAGAAGCUUGCCUCGAAAGUGCGAGUCAACAGUUCAAGAUGCACGGCGGAACUGCAGAAGAUUCAAGAUCAAGUUUGAAUACAUAUAGAUAGGAAUUUUAUAACUCAUAGAUAAUAGAUUUGCCUAGGUUUUUCUCAUUUUGGUUUUGGUGUAAUAAAGAGUUCGGCAAGCAGUAACAGCAGCAGCAGAAGUGAAAUCACAACUUUCCGGUAGUCCCAGCUACCAAAAACUUCCAGAACUGUACUGACAUGAUUCUUUUAUAGUCAAGAAUAUGUAGGCAACUUCGGAAGCAAGGUUCGGUCAGACUUUUCAAAAAUGCUUCCCAUGGAGUAUCCAAACGGGCCAAAGUCGCUCGUAUUCGCUCACUUUAUCUUUGCCCGAAAACUCUUCGUGUUUCCGAGCAAAGAGGGGCGGCUGUGAGCACGUGAUUUUUUCCCGGUCAAAAUGCUCCUACAAAAUCACACAAUAGAUUUUUGUAGUUCAUUUUAAUUUUUAGAGAAUUUUAGGAAUAUUUGUUUAAUUGUUUGCAUUUCUGUUGCAUUUUUUCAUAUAUUAAAAGCACAAAAUAUACCCGAAAAAUAUACAUUUAAGUAUCAUGCAUUGCAUUCUAGGGUUGAUAGUUGCAUUUUUAGUUUAGUUGUUAAUUAAUUUCAUUAAUAAACAAAAAAAAUAUAGAUUAUUCCACAUUUUAGCUUCAGUUUUAUAAAUUAGUACAUUUCUUGCAUUAAUUCUAAAUCAAUUAAUUGUUUUAGUGUUAGAAUUAGACAAUUAAGUCAAUUUCACUAUUAGGUCUUGUGUAGGAUUUAAUUUAGGUUUAAUUAAGUUCAUUAAUAUUUAAAAAAUUGGAAAUUGAAAGAAUUAAAUCAAUUCAAGGAAGAGAAAAGAAAGAAUGCUUGUUUGGACUCGAAUUGAGCCAAACCUGUUUUGAAGCCCAAAAUUUCCCCCCAAUAAUCAACUAGCCCAGCCCCUGCCCGGUCCAACAACCCUAAAUUAACCAAAAUGACGUUGUUUCAUUAACAAUCAAUCCCAGUCGUUGAUCACCCUUGAUCUAACGGGCAGAAACUAGCCUACCCCUUUACAUAUAAUUGUCCUAACCAUACCCCUAAACCUAGAGACCCCUCCCCAUUUCCCCUCCGUCUUUCCAAAGUUGCAAACCAUAUCCCCUUCAAUCUCUAUUCCUUCACCACCAGCCGCCGCCGGCCGAAAAUAGCCUCACGGCGACGGCGGCGCUCCAAACUCGCCUGAAUUGUCACCAUGCAAUCACCAUUCCCCCCUCUUUCCAAAUCCACCAUUAGUUUCGCUAUAUCCCCACCAAAUCCUUCUAAUUUAGGAUCUGAAAGUCCAGGAAAAAAAAACUAAUUUGUUCCCCCCCCCCCCCUUUUCCUAUUCCUUGGCUCAUGGCUACUCGUUGUGACCUAGAACCUACGUCAAUGGCGUGUUCUUGACAAGUACAAUAAAUUGACGAUGGUUGUUGUUCACUCCAAAAUUUGCAAGGAAAUUCAGCCAAGUCUUCAGAGUUUUACUUCAGUCCAUCCUUUUUCUUGGGUAUUCUCUU